AGGACGAAAAGCAGAGGAGGAAGACGAGCUCGUGAGAGAUGGCGCGUUUUCGCGGCUGGAUGGCGCACGGCGGGGCCGAGCGGGGCUGCGGGGCUGCUGGGCCAACUUGGCUGGGCCGACUAGGGCCGAAAGGUAAGGGAAGUUUCUUUUCUUUUUCCUUUUUCCUUUUUCUGUUUUCUCUUUUGCAAAUAGCUUUUGAUUCAAAAUUCAAAUACCAUUUUGAAGAGCUGAGAAAUAGGAGAACUCAAAUAUGGCACUAAUAUUUGGGAGUAUUC
rnacentral:lncRNA from 1 species